AGUGGGGCAAUGGAGGCGUUCUGUCAGGCCGUCAAGACCUUAAAGUUAUCGGGCUCAUACAAUAUUUCCUCAUACAUGGCUGCUCUCUCCCGCCUAAAACCUAAGCUUUACCGAUUCUUUGCAACUUUGUGAAGCUGAAAGUAUCAUACCUGGAUGAGGUGGCCAGCAACACAACAAUUCAAGAUAUGGCAAAGUCUGUUGGACUCAAGGUUCUUGCAUUGCUGAAAAAAGCUUGGUAUAGAUUCAAGACAGCUAAAUGCUCCCUCCGAGGCAAGUUACCCGAAGGGGAAACUUAAUACAAAGCGCUUGGCCGAUGUCGUCUCAUAUGCUUCAAAGUGUGUUUAUAGUGUUUGUGCGUUUAUAGCUCUUGGCCGAUGUCGUCUCAGAUGCUUCAAAGUGUGUUUGUAGUGUUUGUGUGUUUAUAAUGUUUGUAUUUUCUGCAUGUAUUUUGUGUAGCGUGUAGUUUUUUUGAUGCAUGUGUAAAGUGUGUAUGUGGUACCGGCAGUGUAUG